CAGGGAAUCUUUGGCAAUGGACGAAAGUCUGACCGAGCAACGCCGCGUGAGUGAAGAAGGUUUUCGGAUCGUAAAACUCUGUUGUUAGCGAAGAACAAGGACGUUAGUAACUGAACGUCCCCUGACGGUAUCUAACCAGAAAGCCACGGCUAACUACGUGCCAGCAGCCGCGGUAAUACGGAGGUGGCAAGCGUUGUCCGGAUUUAUUGGGCGUAAAGCGAGCGCAGGCGGUUUCUUAAGUCUGAUGUGAAAGCCCCCGGCUCAACCGGGGAGGGUCAUUGGAAACUGGGAUACUUGAGUGCAGAGGAGGAGAGUGGAAUUCCAUGUGUAGCGGUAAAAUGCGUAGAUAUAUAGAGGAACACCAGUGGCGAAGGCGGCUCUCUAGUCUGUAACUGACACUGAGGCACGAAAGCGUGGGGAGCAAACAGG
rnacentral:rRNA from 1 species